ACUGCAGAGCCCAGGAAGUUGGCUGUUGGCUUGUUGGUCUCCUUCCAAGAACGAAAGUGAUGUCAGGAGCUGCCCAUGAGGGAUCAGAAGCUGGAGCAGCUUGAUUAGCAGCUGUUACAGCCAGGAAGUUACAGGCACAGGAAGAAGGGGCUGGAGAAUACUCCAUGCUUGAGAGAGUUCUCUGGCUGCUGGUACUCCAUAUGGGGCUAAUCCAGAUCUGAAUAUGCAUUGCAUACAAGCAUCUAGUAGGACUAUUCACAGAGCAUGAGGAAGAGGGAUACAAUCAGCUGCUUAGAAGAGGUGCAAUUCUCCAAGAGCCUCCACAUUCUUACCCAUGGAAGGUCAACUGCCAAGGUUCUAAAGACUCAGAAUGCUCAUAAACUGAGAAUGAACUUGCACAAAUCGACUACAGGGAAUAUCUCCAAGAAGACUAGUGUGAAUGAACUUGCUGAGAAAAAGAUGCCUAACAGAUGAUGAGCAACAAAAGAAACCCCUCCAUCAAGGCAAAGCAGCAAGAAUGGCUAGGAUUCACAUCUGAAAACAAAGAGACUUGCCAACUGCUUCUUCGUGCCAGCAAAUGUGCUCAUUCUCAUGGCUACUGGAAACACCUGUCAUUCAGAAGAGCCCAAUUUUGUUAGUAGGGGAGAUAAUUUGAGGACAACAUUUCAAAUGUUCCAUAUAACCCAUGACCUGGAAUACAGAAGAAAGAAACUGUUUAAUGCUCUUUUUGUGUGAGAAAGGAAGGGCAAACCAGUCAAGUUGAGUACGUCCAAAGGUACAUUCAUUCAAGGGUGUUAAUUUAUGAAGCAAUUGCCCUGCUACAGGGGAAA